UACGGAGGGUGCAAGCGUUGUUCGGAAUCACUGGGCGUAAAGGGCGUGUAGGCGGUCCGCUAAGUCUGAUGUGAAAGCCCCGGGGCUCACCCCCCGGAAGGGCAUUGGAAACUGGCGGACUCGAGUCCCGGCGAGAGGGAAGGUGGAAUUCCUGGUGUAGCGGUGAAAUGCGUAGAUAUCAGGAGGAAUACCGGUGGCGAAGGCGGCCUUCUGGACGGUGACUGACGCUGGAGAACGCGAAAGCGUGGGGAGCAAACAGG
rnacentral:rRNA from 1 species